UUGACUAAUAAAUCAAGAUCAUUAAUUUAAUAUGGAAUAAGAAGGGAACUAAAGGCUAUGAUGAAAGGCUUAAUAUGUGUACCGAUCUAAGAUGCCAACUGUUUCACCAAAAAAUGAAAACACAAUAUUGUUUUACCAAUUUGUAAUUGGGAGAUUGGAUCAAAUAAAUUGAUUACCAAUUCAUGACCUCAACAAGUAAUUCUAGUUGUUCAUAAGUGUUAGCCUCUUUCUUGCAAUUACUAUCCACGUGAUUUAGAUGUUUCUGUGGAACAACAGCUAUCUGGAUAAAAAAACUUUGGGACAAACGAGAGUGAAACAUUUUUAACUUAAAUUAUUUGCAUCACUCUGAAAGUUAUGAGUUGACUCAUUCGAAGUCAGUUGAGAGAUGAAUCACAGACACUACUUAUUGAGAACUUUAAGCAAUGGAAAACUUGAUA